rnacentral:rRNA from 2 species
UGAGGAAUAUUGGUCAAUGGACGGAAGUCUGAACCAGCCAUGCCGCGUGGAGGAAGAAGGUCCUAUGGGUUGUAAACUCCUUUUGUUCGAGAGUAAUAAGUGGGAUGCGUCCCACGAUGAGAGUAUCGGACGAAUAAGCAUCGGCUAACUCCGUGCCAGCAGCCGCGGUAAUACGGAGGAUGCAAGCGUUAUCCGGAUUUAUUGGGUUUAAAGGGUGCGCAGGCGGCGCGUUAAGUCAGCGGUGAAAUCUCCCGGCUCAACCGGGGAACUGCCAUUGAUACUGGCGUGCUAGAGUACGGACGGCGCCGGCGGAAUGUGUCAUGUAGCGGUGAAAUGCUUAGAUAUGCCACAGAACACCGAUCGCGAAGGCAGCUGGCGAGGCCGGUACUGACGCUCAGGCACGAAAGCGUGGGGAUCAAACAGG